rnacentral:misc_RNA from 1 species
CCUUCGACCCGACACACGACACACAUAUAUAUGUACAAAAUACGUAGAACAGGGAGGAUAAGCAACGCGCGCAAAUUCAUUCUCGAAGAGACAAGAACAGCCAAACCGCAGAGGCCACAUCCGCGGGCCGUACGACAAUCAUUUACUGGUGUUCUGCUGCUGCUCUCUCUCGCUCUACACAUCUAUAUCUACCUAUACCUACCUACCUACGUCUAUUGAGAGAAAGAGGUAUAUGCGUAUAUAGUCCUAUAGGCGUACCUAUAUAUAUAUAUAUAUUGGCCUGCAGCUGUCUACCUGUCUCCCUCGCCGUAGCCCCCACCCCCCACCCCACCCCCUUUCGCACCUCCGCUUGAACUUGUUGUUGUUCUCGCUUUCGCCCGCUUUUGCGUUUGACGUCGCGGCCGUGUCAUCGCUGCUGUUGCCGGCGUGGCCGGGCCGUUCUUUUUUGGAUUAACUGGUAGAUUGUGUGGGGCCGAGGGAGGUGGAUCUCGUUCGCCUUCCUCCCGUUUCUCGGAUUCUCUGCGAGGCUGUGCAGUCGACCUUAGGCGCGUGGGCGUGUGGAGAACUGUCGCGCUCAGUCUGGUUGUUUAUGUUGUCGUUGUUGGUGCCUUUUCUUUGAUCGUGUCGCCCAGUGCUUCGUGUGACUCUUCUGUCUGCUGUGUCCGUCAUUGAGGCAGUGAGCGUGUUGUUGUCGCCAUUGGGUGUUGAGCCCGGCGUCUUCUCUCAUUUCUUUCUAAUCUGCCACUCCUCUCAGCUACGUCUUCGUCUCCUCACCAUCUCGCGCGCGCUUCUUUCCAAGACAAGCAAGUAGCCAUACACCACUUGCAGGCGCACGCACAACCACAGACAUCUACACCAGAAGAAGGUAGCCACACGAGUAGCCUCAGCAGCAGCGGCAGCAGUCACGUCGCGACAGUCCCCGCGCCCUCCCUCUCUCGCUCCCGCAGAUACGCAGCGGCUCACUGCGUCGCCUCCAACAUCCUUCCUCUCCCCCUCCCAGAUUAUCUCUCACCAGGGCUUCUUCGCUGUUCUCCCACCACCAACACCACCCUCCAGGGCAAGUCUCUCUCACGAGUGCAGCACCUGCUGAGAAGCACGCCAGCUGGCUGGCUCCCCCCUUCCCCUUUCCUCUCUCACACGGUAUACCUCGUCGUUGUGGAGGCUUCACCGCGAAGGCCGCACGAGCAAAAUGGCGAACCGCUUUAACCCGCAUCAGCACCCGAUGCAACAGCCCGGUGAUGGCAACCAGCCGCAGUCCUUCUUCUACCACCCCGCAAGCACACAGCAGCAGCAGGUUUAUCAGGGCUAUCCCCAAGGCUUUCCGCCGCUGCACCUCAUGGCGCCGCAGCAGCAGAUGCAGUUCUUGCAGACCCUCAACGAAGCGCAGCGUCGUCAGGCGCUGCAACAGCAGCAGCAGCAGCAGCAACAACAGCAAGAGAUGAAGAACCGCGCUGGCGGUGGCCUUGCACAGCAGCAGCAGCAGCAGCAGCAGCAGCAGCACCCCGGCUUUACUCGCCUGUCGGCCGCUGAGCUGCUGCUGCUUCAGCAGCAGCAACAGCAGCAGCAGCAGCAAAAUCAAGAACGGGAGCUGAGGCAGCGACUUGGUCUGCCGGAAGGCGCGAUGUUGGCCAACUACGGUGGGAACGCGAACAACGCGACGGCUGCAAACAACUUCCUCGCCAAUAUAACACUAGCCCAGAUGCGCCAGCAGCAGCAGCAACAGCAACAAUAUCAGCAGCAGCUCUCUCAGUUACAAUCCCAGCAGCAGCAGCAGCAGCAGCAGCAGAGCACGCAGCAGCAACAGCUGGCUGCUCUGAUGGCAGCCGGUAAGGUCGGUGCAGGCACUGCGGCACCCACUGCUGGUAUGGGCGGCGCCGGUGCGAUGAUGCUGCUCUCCAGCGCUGUCGGACCCCAACUCGACCCCGCAAUUGCUGCCGCGUCCCCAGCGAUGCAGCAGCAACCUGGGACCGCUGCCGGCCCCGGCAACUCCAGCGCAGUCCCCGCCGCAGCAACAUCGGUGGCGCCACCUGCUGCAGGUCCCGCCGCCGCCGGCACCGGGCCCGCAGCCGCCGCAGCAGCAGCCACGGGGAAGGGAAAGAUAGAGGUGGACGACGAAUACGGCCUGAAGCAGCUGGUGAAGGUGGUGCAGCCACCGCUGCCCAUGGCCACCACGCCGUACGUGCCGUCCGCGGAUGAGCCGACAGACCCGGUGUCUGGGCGGCCGAUCAGCCAGCAGGACGCCGACGAGCUAAACUUCACCUUUAUCACCCGUGGGGUUGAUAUCACGCAAAUUGGCCUCUCGGUGACGGAGGAGGGGUGGCUGCACACGACCCUCGCCACGCUGCCGCUCGACUCGUACGAGUACUACAUCCUGCCCGAGUUCAAGAUCCCGGACAGCUACAAGAAGCCGCGGCCCAAGUCCCUCUCCAUGAAGUCAUUCCAUCAGUUCAAGGAGGAAACCCUCUUUUACAUCUUCUACAGCAUGCCGCGUGAUGUGCUGCACCUGGCCGCGGCCCGCGCACUUUACGAGCGUGGCUGGCGGUACAACAAGCGUGCCCAGCACUGGUUGCACCCCGUGAAGGCGGACGACGGGUCCCUCAUGGAGAAGACCACGACGGGGCCGGACGGGCAGAAGAUCUUCACCGGCACGUACACCGUCUUUCAGCCGAACGAGUGGAAACAGGUGCGCACGCAGCCGAACCAUGUCAUCGCGGCCGCCGACAUCGAGGAGCAGAGUGCGUUGGUGGCUGCUAUGGAAGAGGCGGCGCGACAGCAGUCUCAGCGCGCGCGCAGCAAGGCGGCGCACGGAGCUGGUGGCGGCAGCAGCGCUGCUGCCGCCGGCUCGAACGGCAACAACGGUGGCAGUGCCGGCAACAGCACGCCCUCGGCGAGCGCGUGAGCACACGUCGGAGAGCGGCGCAAAAAGGGUGAACGACACGGUCAACGCACACGCUGGGUAGUGCCUUCCUUACACGUGUCAAGCAGCUCCAUCAAGGACGUCUUCACCUUUUUCCCUGAAUUUCUUUGUACCCGUGUCUGUCCCCAGCACUGGGUGAGAGGUGCAAGGGGUUGGCGACACAGGCGGGACGACAUCGGAAUGCCGCGCACGAGAUGGAGUCGUGUCGGGUGUUUCCCUCUUUUCAGACCUUUCUUUCGUUCUCGGCGUGCGUGCCUGUUGGAUGGACGUCCUCCUUUACUGCCUCUCGUCCCUCUGAGCUCCUUUUCGUCGUUCUCUGCCCGUGCGAGUCUUUCUCUUUCGUUUUCCCUGCGCCUCUUCUCUGUUGGAGUUGUCGGUAGAUGUCCAUGUGCACUGAGGUGGCAAAUGGGGGGAGGAGGAGGAGGAGGAGGAGGAGGCAAAGAGGGGAAGAGGGGGGGGGGGCUCCGUGGUGGUGCUGGUCGUCUGUGCAUCGUGUGCUUAUUCAUCUCUCGCUUCCUCACUCUCUCUUGUCUGGUGUUGGUUUCUUGCUCCGUCUUCGCUGUGUUGCUCAGCACGAGGGGGUCUGCCCUCUCUUGCUCCCUUAUCUUUUUAUACCUGUGUCUGCCCGUCUGUCUGUCUUCGUAUGGUUUGCUUGCCUGUGCACACUCUUCGUGUGUGCCUUCCUCUUGCUCUCCCCCAUCCCCUGUGCAUGUGUGAUCGUCUCUCUGGUGGCGAUGAGACUGCUGUUGACUCAAUGCGGGUGUGCGGGCGUGUGUGUGUGUGUGUGUGUGUGUGUAUUUUCUUUUUUGAUCAUGGAAGACACCCAUGUUGUCUUGGCUCGAUGCUUGCACGGGCCCUCUGCGGAGUCGUUGGUCCCCCCUCUUUCAUGGUCUGUGUAGCACUGCUGUCGUGAUCACGCUGGAUGAGGAGGAGGGCGACGACACCGGCGUGUAGGUCUCUGCAUCUGUGUUGGAAAGGCGCUCGUCGUCUCUCUAUCUGUAUGCCCCUUUUAGCGUUCUGUGCUGCUUCAGCGCCUUGGUUCCUCUCCUUUUCAUUUCCUUUGGUUUCGGUUCCGUCCGGCCGGCCGUCUGUCCGUCUCUCUGGCGGUGCCGUGCCGUGCGGUGCGGUGCCGUGGUGACGGCUUUUCGGUGAUUGUCUGGUGGUCUCAUGUGUGCGCUCACAUGCGCGCAUUCGCGCACCCCAUGCGCGUCGAGGGCACACAUGUGCACACGCACAUGCGCUAUGUUGGUUUUGUUUGGCAACAUCGUGAGUUGAGUAUGUAACAAGACUCGUAAGGGCAAGUGUG